AACGAACGCUGGCGGCAGGCUUAACACAUGCAAGUCGAACGGUCUCUUCGGAGGCAGUGGCAGACGGGUGAGUAACGCGUGGGAACAUACCUUUCGGUACGGAACAACAGUUGGAAACGACUGCUAAUACCGUAUACGCCCUGAGGGGGAAAGAUUUAUCGCCGAGAGAUUGGCCCGCGUUGGAUUAGCUAGUUGGUGGGGUAAUGGCCUACCAAGGCGACGAUCCAUAGCUGGUCUGAGAGGAUGAUCAGCCACACUGGGACUGAGACACGGCCCAGACUCCUACGGGAGGCAGCAGUGGGGAAUAUUGGACAAUGGGCGCAAGCCUGAUCCAGCCAUGCCGCGUGAGUGAUGAAGGCCUUAGGGUUGUAAAGCUCUUUCGCCGGUGAAGAUAAUGACGGUAACCGGUAAGAAGCCCCGGCUAACUUCGUGCCAGCAGCCGCGGUAAGUCACACUACA
rnacentral:rRNA from 1 species